rnacentral:rRNA from 1 species
UGAUGAAGUUUUCGAAUGGAUUCGGCUGAGGAAAGUGGCGAACGGGCGAGUAACGCGUGAGCAACCUACCGUUGUACUGGGGGAUAAACGUCGGGAAACCGGCGCUAAUACCGCAUAACAUUACGAUAGCGCAUGUUAUUGUAAUCAAAGCUUUAGCGGUACGAGACGGGCUCGCGUCCAAUUAGCUAGUUGGUGAGGUAAAGGCUCACCAAGGCGACGAUUGGUAGCCGAACUGAGAGGUUGAUCGGCCGCAUUGGGACUGAGACACGGCCCAGACUCC